rnacentral:rRNA from 1 species
AUUGAACGCUGGCGGCAGGCUUAACACAUGCAAGUCGAGCGGAGAGAGGUAGCUUGCUACUGAUCUUAGCGGCGGACGGAUGAGUAAUGCUUAGGAAUCUGCCUAUUAGUGGGGGACAACAUUUCGAAAGGAAUGCUAAUACCGCAUACGUCCUACGGGAGAAAGCAGGGGAUCUUCGGACCUUGCGCUAAUAGAUGAGCCUAAGUCGGAUUAGCUCGUUGGUGGGGUAAAGGCCUACCAAGGCGACGAUCUGUAGCGGGUCUGAGAGGAUGAUCCGCCACACUGGGACUGAGACACGGCCCAGACUCCUACGGGAGGCAGCAGUGGGGAAUAUUGGACAAUGGGGGGAACCCUGAUCCAGCCAUGCCGCGUGUGUGAAGAAGGCCUUAUGGUUGUAAAGCACUUUAAGCGAGGAGGAGGCUCUUUUGGUUAAUACCCAAGAUGAGUGGACGUUACUCGCAGAAUAAGCACCGGCUAACUCUGUGCCAGCCGCCGCAGUAA